rnacentral:rRNA from 1 species
CGUAGGGGCAAGCGUUGUCCGGAUUCAUUGGGCGUAAAGAGCGUGUAGGCGGCCAGGUAGGUCGGUUGUGAAAAACUGGAGGCUCAACCUUCAGAGGUCGACCGAAACCAUCUGGCUAGAGUCCGGGAGAGGAGAGUGGAAUUCCUGGUGUAGCGGUGAAAAUGCGCAGAUAUCAGGAAGAACACCCGUGGCGAAAAGCGGCUCUCUGGAACGGUACUGACGCUGAGACGCGAAAAGCGUGGGGAGCGAACAGGAUU